GACGUAGGACGCGAGCGUUGUCCGGAUUUAUUGGGCGUAAAGAGCUCGUAGGCGGCUUGUCGCGUCGUCCGUGAAAACUUGGGGCUCAACCCCAAGCUUGCGGUCGAUACGGGCAGGCUGGAGUCCGGAAGAGGAGAGUGGAAUUCCUGGUGUAGCGGUGGAAUGCGCAGAUAUCAGGAGGAACACCAAUGGCGAAGGCAGCUCUCUGGUACGUGACUGACGCUGAGACGCGAAAGCGUGGGGAGCAAACAGG
rnacentral:rRNA from 1 species